UACGGGGGGAGCAAGCGUUGUUCGGAUUUACUGGGCGUAAAGGGCGCGUAGGCGGUCAGCACAAGUCAGUUGUGAAAUCUCCGGGCUUAACCCGGAAAGGUCAACUGAUACUGUGCGACUAGAGUGCGGAAGGGGCAACUGGAAUUCUCGGUGUAGCGGUGAAAUGCGUAGAUAUCGAGAGGAACACCUGCGGCGAAGGCGGGUUGCUGGGCCGACACUGACGCUGAUGCGCGAAAGCGUGGGGGAGCGAACAGG
rnacentral:rRNA from 1 species